rnacentral:rRNA from 1 species
UACGUAGGUCCCGAGCGUUGUCCGGAUUUAUUGGGCGUAAAGCGAGCGCAGGUGGUUUAUUAAGUCUGGUGUAAAAGGCAGUGGCUCAACCAUUGUAUGCAUUGGAAACUGGUAGACUUGAGUGCAGGAGAGGAGAGUGGAAUUCCAUGUGUAGCGGUGAAAUGCGUAGAUAUAUGGAGGAGCACCGGUGGCAAAAGCGGCUCUCUGGCCUGUAACUGACACUGAGGCUCGAAAGCGUGGAGAGCAAACAGG